rnacentral:lncRNA from 1 species
UUUUAAUUUAUGGGUUAUUGUUGAAGGUUGUACGAUGACGUAUGGUUGUUAACACAUACUUCUUUUGGUUUCUUAUGGAAAUUUGUCCAUUGACAACAAACAUACCACAUCAUCUACUUUAUAUAAGUAUUGUAUAAAUUACGACGUAUUUUGGUGGUCUUGCAAAAUGGUCGUAAUCCCGAAAAUCGUAAACAUAUUUUCUUAUCUUAAAAAGGGGCAAGAAGGGUUCCAUUAACAGGCCAAUAAAUAAGAUAACAGUUAAUUUGUAAAAAAAAUUUUUAAAAAUGGGGUAUUUUUUCUCUCAUAAUAACAGUAAACAGAUUCACAACAAUGUCAAUUUCAAGAAAGCAGACAACAGCUAAUUAGUCAAUAAC